UUCUUAUAGGCUUUCAAGUCUGCAGUUAUUGCAUUGGUAUGUCAUUAAUAGUGGUCCUCCUGAUGAAUUUAAGAGCUACCUCAAAAGACAAAGCAAGUGCAAUGUUCGUGCUGGUGUAAGCCUCAACACCAGCAAAAGGGACUUUUCACAACCUGACAACACAAAAGUUGUUUACAUUAUUACAUUAUUAAUGACAUAUAACUGAUGUAUAAUGCAUUGGUAAAUGUUUUAUUAACCAUUAAUAAAGCCAUUAGUUACAACUUAUAAACCCCAUAAAGGGUGCCUUACUUGAAAGUGGUUUUGAUCUAAAAAAUAUGAACAACUGUGUAUGAAUGAGCAACCUGCUCACUAGUUUCCUCAUGCUCUUUGCUGCUUGGACACACGCUUACACUGUGGACUCCAUACACAUAGACUUGAUUAAACAUAACCUAGUUAAGCUCAAAGUCUGUCAUGUGCAGAGUGGGUGUGUGUGUGUGUGCAAGAGAGAGGGAGAGAGUGUCUGAAAUGACGUCGGGCAAAGUUAAGUUACUGUCAAGUUGUCAAGUCCUCUGGCUCCACCCCCCUACGAGUGUGACAGCUGGUAACCAUGGAAACACUUGCUGGAAUUGUGUUAAUUGGCUGAAUUGAUUCUGACAGCUCACCCUACUUUGAGUAAGACCUCCUCCUAUCCAUCGUUGUCGCCCUAUCACCCCCCCUUACACAUACGCACACACCUCAACCCUGUAAAGAGGCAGUUUAGAAAAAGGAAAAGUGAGAGGAAUAAAUAGGAGGGCAAGGGAUUGAUACUGAGUAAAGAGGGAUGAGCGAAAGAAGAAAAGAGAGGGAGAGCAGAAGAAGAAAGGCAGGCAGAGAAAAAAGUAUGCAGUGGCGUUUGGCAGGAAAAGAUGGGAGUUGGAGCAUGUGACACAGUCCACACUGUCACAAGUACACAGCAAACACUCCCCACUGGUCCACCGUGUGCUCUUUGCAGUGCUUACUGAUCCCCAGAGAUUCAGGCCAAUUUGUUAUUAAGCUGGUACAAGAGCUGGAUUAUUUGAAAAGCAUAAAGAAGACUCAUGACAAUAGAAGUCAGGGCCAACCACGAGUCCAUGCAGGCAUAUAUAAUCUGCCUACAAUGUGACAGGACUACAGCCACAGCGCCAUUGAUAAGGAGCGACAUCAUAGGACCAGGACAUUUUCUUUUGUGCCACGGGCAUUCACCCAGCGCGGUGCCCGGGACAGGAGAGCAAAGAAAAAGUACAUAAUAGCACAAAAACCAAAAACUUUGCCUGC